AUGGCACAGCCAAUUCCCGGCUGGAAUUCCCGGCUGGCACAUCUGGAAUUCCCGCCUGGAAUCCGCUCCCUAAAGGGUGCCGCCGCUGGAAUUCCCGCCCCCAUUCCCAUCCUUUCCCUCCUCCCAGUUUUCCCGGCCCCUCCUCCUCGGUCCCGGGGCUCUCCCGCUGUCAGGGAGAGCCGGGAAAAGCUUUGGGAUCGGGGCCGGGAUUUGGGAUCGGCGCUUCCCGAUGAUUCCAUGGCCAUUCCCAGCGGGAUUCUCCUGGCCUGCUCCCUCUUCCUCCUGCCCGGGAGCCGCUUUUCCCGGGAUAAUUGGAUCCAUGUGUGGCCGCAGCGAUGGAUGCGGAGCCGCCUCUGGAAUGGGAUCCUGGAAAAAUCCGGGAGCUGGCGGAGCCUCGGGAAUUUCCCCCUCUGGACACGGCGGAUUUAUGGAAACAUUCCCGGAUUUUCGCUCCGCUCUCCCGGAUUUUUUUUCCUCAUCCUUGGAUGGUUCUGGGCAGGGAUUUCCAUCCUGGAAAAUUCCCAAUGGAAUUUUCUCUAUCCAGGGAUUUCCAUCCUGGAAAAUUCCUGCUGGAAUUUUCUCUCUCCAGGGAUUUGGGUCUUUCAGGAAUUUUCCCCCUCUGGAAUUUUCUGUAUCCAGGGAUUUUCCAUCCUCGGGGGUUUCUGCUCUUGGAAUUUUCUCUCUUGGAAUUUUCUCUAUCCAGGGAUUUGUGUCCUUUAGGAAUUUCCCCCUCUGGAAUUUUCUGUAUCCAGGGAUUUUCCAUCCUGGAAAAUUUGGGGGAAAUGGGGAAAAGUGGGAAAAAAUGGGAAAACUGCAGAAAAUGGGGAAAAUGGGAAAAAAUGGAAAACUGGGAAAAAUGGAAAACUAGGAAAAAAUGGGAAAACUGCUGAAAAAUGGGAAAAGUGGGAGAAAAUGGGGAAAACCGGGAAAACUGGGAAAAACUGGGAAAAGCGGGAGCUUCCUGAGCCGCUGGGACAAAAGGAGCUGGAAAGAAUUUUGGGAUAAGGAGGGGGAAAUUCCGACUUUUUUUUUUUUUUUUUUUUUUUUUCCCGAUUUUUUUUUUUUUCCCAGGAUUCGGGAAUUCCUUCAACGUGGACACCGAGAGGCCCCGGAUCAUUCCGGGAUCCCGGGAAUCUUUCUUUGGAUACACGGUGCAGCAGCACGACAUCGGCGGCAAGAAAUGGUGAGGGGGCUCCGGAAAAGCGGGAAUUCCGAUGGGAAUUCCGAUGGGAAUUCCGGCGGGAAUGAUCCCGAUCCACCCCAAAUCUCCUGCGGAAUUCCUGGGAAUUGCUGGGCCGGGCUGAGGCUGCUCCUGGAAAAGGUUUUCCUUAAAAAAAAACCGAGGAAUUUUAGGUGGGAAUAUUGGGAAUUUGGGAAUCGUGGAUUCCUUGGAGCACCUCGGGAAUUGCUGGAAUGGAUCCCUCGGGAAUCUGCGCCCGGAGCGGCCCCGGGUUCAGUUCCCAGGGAGGGGGCGGGGCCUGGAGAUCCAGCGGGAA
rnacentral:lncRNA from 1 species